rnacentral:rRNA from 1 species
AGGACGAACGCUGGCGGCGUGCUUAACACAUGCAAGUCGAGCGGAAAGGCCCUUCGGGGUACUCGAGCGGCGAACGGGUGAGUAACACGUGAGUAAUCUGCCCCUAGCUCCUGGGAUAGCUCCGGGAAACCCGGGAUUAAUACCAGAUACGACCACUUUAGACAUCUCUUGUGGUGGAAAGAAUUUCGGCUAGGGAUGAACUCGCGGCCUAUCAGCUUGUUGGUGAGGUAACGGCUCACCAAGGCGACGACGGGUA